rnacentral:rRNA from 1 species
GACGUAGGGCGCGAGCGUGUCCGGAUUUAUUGGGCGUAAAGAGCUCGUAGGCGGUCUGUCGCGUCGGCUGUGAAAACUCGGGGCUCAACUCCGAGCUUGCAGUCGAUACGGGCAGGCUAGAGUUCGGCAGGGGAGACUGGAAUUCCUGGUGUAGCGGUGAAAUGCGCAGAUAUCAGGAGGAACACCGGUGGCGAAGGCGGGUCUCUGGGCCGAUACUGACGCUGAGGAGCGAAAGCGUGGGGAGCGAACAGG